rnacentral:lncRNA from 1 species
GACGGCGACACGGGAACCCAAGGGCAGCUGCUGACCUCUAAAUCAACAACAUUGUGCUUUCAGACACAAGAAACACCACAGCUGAAAAUGAUUUAAUUAAUUCAACACCCUCUCUCUCAACUUUAAAAAACAUAUGCAUCCGACACAGUCACUCCAUAGCGGUACCAAUAUCAUUCCUGCUUUCUCUGUGGAGCGCGACAGGGUUUAACCACGCCCACAAUCUGUGAGAAUUGUUGAUGAACUCGUUGACUGCAGUUCUCUAUGACCUGAAGGACUUACUUGCAGAGGAGUUCUUUCUGAUGAAGAAGGGAACUUCUGGCGGAUCCAGCUGUGGCCAGCAGAUGCUGUAUCCUGCCGGAGGGCAAAGCGGCGGGUGAGCGACUGUUCCAUCUGAGACAGGAGAUGAGGAGUGCCCAGGACCUCGCCCUGGAGUUCCGGACCCUAGCCGCUGGAGCUGGGUGGAAUGAAAGGGCCCUGAUUGAUCACUACCGUUGUAGCCUGAGAGAGGACGUCCACCGGGAGCUGGCAUGUCGGGACACUACCAUCACCCUGGACCAGCUCAUCGAUAUGUCCAUCAGACUGGACAACCUGCUGGCUGCCCGUGGGCGUUCCAAUCGGGCCCUUUUCAUUCCACCUCCCAGCCCUCCUGCUCCAACGCCCAUGGAGAUAGGGGGGGCUGCAGCUAGGAAGACCGGAGGGGCAGUCUUCUCCUGCGCCCACUGUAGUCGCAAAGGGCACACUGCCGACCAGUGCUGGAGAGGCUCGCCCGGGAGUUCAGAGGGCAGUCUGAGCACCACUUUGAUGCCUCAGAUGGUGUUGGGUUACCAGCCGGUCCUGGUGCCCUGGCAUCAGAGCCAGACUGAGGCUCCUGCGGUGGAGGAUUGGGUACAGUGCUCUAAGGAGACCUGGAGCGCCGUCCAGGAAUCCCUUAAACGGGCUGUGGGACGGCACAAGGAGAUCGCUGACCGCCGCCGCAGCCGGUGGUAGCUGGUCCACUGCAGGACGCUGAGGUGCGGGAGAUCCCUCCGCCCCCCCCUGGACAUCGGGGGGUCCCCGGCGUACACAGUCCGGUCCAUCUUGGACUCCAGGCGUCGGGUAGGGGGCCUGCAGUACCUCGUGGACUGGGAGGGGUACGGUCCGGAGGAGAGGUGCUGGGUACCAGUGGAGGACAUCUUGGAUCCAUCACUGUUGCGGGAAUUCCACAGCCUCCAUCUGGAUUGCCCUGCGCCUCGCCCUCCGGGUCGUCCUCGAGGCCGGCGUCGGCGCGCUGCGGGAGCUGCGCAUCAGGGGAGGGGGGGUACUGUCACAACGUCCACAGAAGGUGGUGCCUCUCCCCGUUCUGGCGGCGCUCGGCGGUCGUCGUCGCCGGCCUACUAGCUGCCACCGAUCUCCUUUUCUUUUUCAUUUGGUGAUGUCUGUUUUUGUUAGCACCUGUUUUGAGUUAGUUCAUUUGUGAGGGUAUUUAGUCUGUCUGUUUUGGUUUGGGAUUGUGCGGGAUUGUUUCGUGUCAUUUUAUUGGAUGUUGGGGAUUUGAUUUUCCUCUGCCGUUUCGUAUUAGGUAUUAGGGUUUGCUGGGCUGCGUCCCGACUCGAUUUAGGGCUGUUACCUAUCGUUUGAGUUCUGUACCCUGCCUUGUUUUUUCGGCACUUUGGACUGUAUUCAUUAAAACGUGUUUUCCCACGUACCUUAGUCUCCUGCGCCUGACUGCGCCUCCUGCGCCUCCUGCGCCUGCGGGUCAACCCCUCCUGCAUGAUCGAAUCUUAUGACAUAUCCUUCCUUUAA